UACGGGGGGGGGCAAGCGUUGUUCGGAAUUAUUGGGCGUAAAGAGCUUGUAGGCGGUUUGUCGCGUCUGCUGUGAAAAUCCGGGGCUCAACCCCGGACUUGCAGUGGGUACGGGCAGACUAGAGUGUGGUAGGGGAGACUGGAAUUCCUGGUGUAGCGGUGAAAUGCGCAGAUAUCAGGAGGAACACCGAUGGCGAAGGCAGGUCUCUGGGCCACUACUGACGCUGAGAAGCGAAAGCAUGGGGAGCGAACAGG
rnacentral:rRNA from 1 species